UGAGGAAUAUUGGUCAAUGGACGAGAGUCUGAACCAGCCAAGUAGCGUGCAGGAUGACGGCCCUAUGGGUUGUAAACUGCUUUUGUUUGGGAAUAAUCGACAUUACGUGUAAUGUUUUGCAUGUACCAUUCGAAUAAGGACCGGCUAAUUCCGUGCCAGCAGCCGCGGUAAUACGGAAGGUCCAGGCGUUAUCCGGAUUUAUUGGGUUUAAAGGGAGCGUAGGCCGUUUGGUAAGCGUGUUGUGAAAUGUAGGAGCUCAACUUCUAGAUUGCAGCGCGAACUGUCAGACUUGAGUGCGCACAACGUAGGCGGAAUUCAUGGUGUAGCGGUUAAAUGCUUAGAUAUCAUGAAGAACUCCGAUUGCGAAGGCAGCUUACGGGAGCGCAACUGACGCUGAAGCUCGAAGGUGCGGGUAUCGAACAGG
rnacentral:rRNA from 1 species